AUUAAAAACCAAUGCCCUUCGGGGCUCUCUGGUGAUUCAUAAUAACUUCUCGAAUCGCACGGCCUUGCGCCGGCGAUGGUUCAUUCAAAUUUCUGCCCUAUCAACUUUCGACGGCUGGGUCUUGGCCAGCCGUGGUGACAACGGGUAACGGAGGGUUAGGGCUCGACCCCGGAGAAGGAGCCUGAGAAACGGCUACUACAUCCAAGGAAGGCAGCAGGCGCGCAAAUUACCCAAUCCCGACACGGGGAGGUAGUGACAAUAAAUACUGAUACAGGGCUCUUUCGGGUCUUGUAAUUGGAAUGAGUACAAUUUAAAUCCCUUAACGAGGAACAAUUGGAGGGCAAGUCUGGUGCCAGCAGCCGCGGUAAUUCCAGCUCCAAUAGCGUAUAUUAAAGUUGUUGAGGAUAAAAAGCUCGUAGUUGAACCUUGGGCCUAGCCGGCCGGUCCGCCUCACCGCGUGCACUGGCUCGGCUGGGUCUUUCCUUCUGGAGAACCGCAUGCUCUUCACUGGGUGUGCC
rnacentral:rRNA from 1 species